rnacentral:rRNA from 1 species
UACGUAGGUGGCAAGCGUUGUCCGGAUUUACUGGGCGUAAAGGAUGCGUAGGCGGACAUUUAAGUCAGAUGUGAAAGUACCCGAGCUUAACUUGGGUGCUGCAUUUGAAACUGGGUGUCUAGAGUGCAGGAGAGGUAAGUGGAAUUCCUAGUGUAGCGGUGAAAAUGCGUAGAGAUUAGGAAGAACACCAGUGGCGAAGGCGACUUACUGGACUGUAACUGACGCUGAGGCAUGAAAGCGUGGGGAGCAAACAGG